rnacentral:rRNA from 1 species
AUUGAACGCUGGCGGCAGGCCUAACACAUGCAAGUCGAACGAGUGGCGGACGGGUGAGUAAUGUCUGGGAAACUGCCCGAUGGAGGGGGAUAACUACUGGAAACGGGAGCUAAUACCGCAUACCAUCGGAUGUGCCCAGAUGGGAUUAUCUUGUAGGUGAGGUAACGGCUCACCUAGGCGACGAUCCCUAGCUGGUCUGAGAGGAUGAACAGCCAUACUGGAACGUAGACCCGGUCCAGACUCCUACGGGAGGCAGCAGUGGGGAAUAGUUGACAAUGGGGGCAAGCCUGAUGCAGCAAUGCCGCGUGUAGGAAGAAGUCCUUCGGGUUGUAAAGUACUUUCAGCGGGGAGGCGUUACCCGCAGAAGAAGCACCGGCUAACUCCGUGCCAGCAGCCGCGGUAAUUC